UACGUAGGGUGCAGGCGUUAAUCGGAAUUACUGGGCGUAAAGGGUGCGUAGGCGGUCCUAUAAGUCAGUUGUGAAAUACGGCAGCUUAACUGUCGAGGUGCAAUUGAUACUGCAGGACUUGAGUACAGACGAGGUAGGCGGAAUUGACGGUGUAGCGGUGAAAUGCUUAGAUAUCGUCAAGAACACCGAUAGCGAAGGCAGCUUACUAGACUGUAACUGACGCUGAUGCACGAAAGUGUGGGGAUCAAACAGG
rnacentral:rRNA from 1 species